rnacentral:rRNA from 1 species
CUACGGGAGGCACCAGGCGCGAAACCUCUACAAUGCACGAAAGUGUGAUAGGGGGACCCCAAGUGCUUAUGUUUUGCAUAGGCUUUUGCCAAAUGUAAAAAGUUUGGCGAAUAAGUGGUGGGUAAGACUGGUGCCAGCCGCCGCGGUAACACCAGCGCCACGAGUGGCAAUCGCUUUUAUUGGGCCUAAAGCGUCCGUAGCCGGUUUGUUAAAUUCUUUGUGAAAUUGUCUAGCUUAACUAGACAGCGUGCAGAGAAGACUGGCAAACUUGGGACCGGGAGGGGUUAGGGGUAUUCCUUGGGUAGCGGUAAAAUGCUAUAAUCCUUGGAGGACCACCUGUGGCGAAGGCGCCUAACCAGAACGGAUCCGACGGUGAGGGACGAAAGCUAGGGGAGCAAUCCGGAUUAGAUACCCCUGUAGUC